AGCACAACAUGGGGCUGGAUCUCACAACCCUGAAAUCAUGACCUGAGCAAAAAUCAAGAAUCAGAUACACCAGACUUUGCUUAAUCAUGCUCCAUUGUGAGGCAAACUGCUUUCUGAAGGGAGAGUUUACCAUGUGACAAGGCCACCAGCAGGAACUGUGAGAAUACUAAGGGAUACCUCGCCCACUUCAUGUUUUUCCAAUUGCAAGUCAGGACGCUUUACUGGAUCAUGAAGUCUUGAAGCUAAUCACGACCAGCAUUUAAAAAAAAAAAAAAAUUAAACAACAGAAUAAAAUCUUGAAAGUACAUAUCUGGAGUAGGCACCGCAGAAAAUGUGACUCUGCUGUAAAUGAGCAAUGGACAAGACCUCUGUGCCUUACAGAUGUUGUUGGAGGAAUACACCAGGGAGCCGAGGAAUUGAAAAAGCAGAAGAUUCUGCAGGAACACAAUGAGAGAUCUAGUUGUCUUCACCUAUGUCUGGUCCCCAAGAGAACCGAGGAGGGUGGCAUUGAGAAAACAGUGGAAACAGUCUUAAGGCCCAAGGAUGAGGAAUGGGUACCCCAACAUUGUGUGGAUGGUCACAUAACCCUCAAGUGGACUCCCAGCUGCAUGCAGCUGUGAAUUUUUGGAUUCUUAGGGACCAGCCCAGAAACUUGCCUUUCCCUGAAUUUAUCCUGCUCAUUCCCCCCUCUUCUUCAUGCCUAGAUAGUAGGUUAAAGAGAGCAGGAAGGCUAUCUGGGUCCUCAAUGUAUUCCAAUGCCAACCCCACAGUCAGGGUUCAGUACAGGUCUGCAGAAUGAACAAGUGGCCCCCAAAGUCCUACCACUUCUCUGCCUGGUGACUAUCCAUCACCUAGAAUCCAACUCCAAAGUCCUCUUCUCUCCUGAGUCUUCCUCGCCAGCCCAACUUGGUGCUUUAUGUCUGUUGUUUUCUGUGACCCACACCAGUGGUAGUUGAAUAACAUCAUCGUACCCUCAGCAUCCCAUAAAUCCCAGACACAUAGUAGGUGCUCAAUGUUUGCAGAUGAAAUCAUUAUGCUCCCUUAGUAACAACAACCAAUUUCUUCAGUUACUCUUCUUGGCAGUACAUUAAAAGAUGCAGAAGAGGCUUGUGUGCACAUCAGACACCACAGGGACACUGAGGCGUCCCUUCUUCCAGGCGCUUCCUCUGACCUAAUCCUUCUGCCCACAUCGGUUCUGCCUUCCUACUCACCUCCCAUUGCUAUCUCUGAGGUAUGAAGAACGACGACAACCCAGGGAGGCCACUGGGCUUCUGGGUCAGCUGGGAGAGGGGCUGUGGGGACAGGGCUCAGGGCUUUGGGGGCGUCUCUGCUCUUCACCUACGUGCAAAAGUGAGCCAAGCUUUAGGGGACAAUGGGGAGGUGAUGAGGACGCAGUGACCCCCUUAACCGACCCCCUUCCGACCCUACCCCGGGCGUCCAGCCUGAGCUUGGAGGCACCCCAGCGAAGGGUGGAGAGGCUGACACCCCAGCCAUCAAGCCUACCUCCAGAGCAGGUGAGCCCCCCGGAGCACCGACUGUGGCCUCAUCGUCCCGCCGCCUCGGACUUGCCUCUGGGGAGGGGGGC